GGAGCAGACGCCAUCGUACCUGACGGGCGAGUUCCCGGGCGACUACGGGUGGGACACGGCGGGGCUGUCGGCGGACCCGGAGACGUUCGCGAAGAACCGGGAGCUGGAGGUGAUCCACGGGCGGUGGGCGAUGCUGGGGGCGCUGGGGUGCGUCUUCCCGGAGAUCCUGGCCAAGAACGGCGUCAAGUUCGGGGAGGCGGUGUGGUUCAAGGCCGGGGCGCAGAUCUUCUCGGAGGGCGGCCUCGACUACCUGGGCAACCCCAACCUGAUCCACGCGCAGAGCAUCCUCGCCAUCUGGGCCUGCCAGGUGGUGCUGAUGGGCUUCGUGGAGGGCUACCGCGUCGGCGGCGGCCCGCUGGGUGAGGGCCUCGACGCCAUCUACCCCGGCGGCGCCUUCGACCCCCUGGGCCUGGCCGACGACCCCGACGCGUUCGCGGAGCUCAAGGUGAAGGAGAUCAAGAACGGCCGCCUUGCCAUGUUCUCCAUGUUCGGCUUCUUCGUGCAGGCCAUCGUGACCGGCAAGGGCCCCAUCGAGAACCUCUACGACCACCUCGCCGACCCCGUCGCCAACAACGCCUGGGCCUACGCCACCAACUUCGUCCCCGGCAAGUGAUCAUCUCCCGCUGCCUUCCCGCGUGCAUUGACGUCGUCGUUGUCGGUCGUCUUCCUCUAAAAUGGUGGGUGUAACGGGACAUGAAGGGAGGCUGCAAUCGAGCCAUCAUGUGUUGUGUUGUACUGUAAUAUUGAUAUUAUUAGUUAAUGGUCGACUUAGUGCAAGUGUCGAAGGCCUUCACAUCUAUAUAUGCUGCAAGAACAUAACAACGAUAACACGGGAACAGAACAAACUAAGAAUCUGUUGAAGAAGAUUAAUGCAAGCAAAUUAGAGCCAAAAUAUUAGAGCUUAAAUAACAUAGUUAGCAUCUGAUACGCAUGGAUAAUGUACUGCAUAUUUAAAGAUGGAAAAAGAUUAAGACCUGAUUUAAACACAGAUAAGAAGAGCUAAGUCUUGAUCUGGAAUCCACCUUUCAACAAAGAUGCAUGUGAAUGAAUCCAAAGUGAUACAACCAAACAGAACUGGAUUACCUUUGAGCUGCACCCAAAACUACAACCUGGUGAGGAGAUGUGUUGGUGGUAGGCCGAGCCGAUCCAUAAAUCAGAGACAAAAGAAGAGCACCUGAGGAAGAAGUGCACGGGCACAACUUGAUGCAUCAGAUCCUACAUGCAAAUUACAUGGAGGAUGAAGUGCAC
rnacentral:lncRNA from 1 species